AUUGAACGCUGGCGGCAUGCUUUACACAUGCAAGUCGAACGGCAGCGCGGGGCAACCUGGCGGCGAGUGGCGCACGGGUGAGUAAUAUAUCGGAACGUACCCAGAAGUGGGGGAUAACGUAGCGAAAGUUACGCUAAUACCGCAUACGAUCUACGGAUGAAAGUCGGGGACCGCAAGGCCUUAUGCUUUUGGAGCGGCCGAUAUCUGAUUAGCUAGUUGGUGAGGUAAAGGCUCACCAAGGCGACGAUCAGUAGCUGGUCUGAGAGGACGACCAGCCACACUGGAACUGAGACACGGUCCAGACUCCUACGGGAGGCAGCAGUGGGGAAUUUUGGACAAUGGGCGCAAGCCUGAUCCAGCAAUGCCGCGUGAGUGAAGAAGGCCUUCGGGUUGUAAAGCUCUUUUGUCAGGGAAGAAACGGUAGAGGCUAAUAUCCUUUGCUAAUGACGGUACCUGAAGAAUAAGCACCGGCUAACUACGUG
rnacentral:rRNA from 1 species